UACGUAGGGUGCGAGCGUUAAUCGGAAUUACUGGGCGUAAAGCGUGCGUAGGCGGUCCGCGAAGUCUGGUGUGAAAGCCCCGGGCUCAACCUGGGAACUGCAUUGGAAACUAACGGGCUCGAGUGUGGCAGAGGGGGGUGGAAUUCCACGUGUAGCAGUGAAAUGCGUAGAGAUGUGGAGGAACACCGAUGGCGAAGGCAGCCCCCUGGGCUAACACUGACGCUCAGGCACGAAAGCGUGGGGAGCAAACAGG
rnacentral:rRNA from 1 species